ACGAUGAAGCCCUUCGGGGUGGAUUAGUGGCGAACGGGUGAGUAACACGUGGGCAAUCUGCCCUUCACUCUGGGACAAGCCCUGGAAACGGGGUCUAAUACCGGAUAACACUCCUGCCUGCAUGGGCGGGGGUUAAAAGCUCCGGCGGUGAAGGAUGAGCCCGCGGCCUAUCAGCUUGUUGGUGGGGUAAUGGCCCACCAAGGCGACGACGGGUAGCCGGCCUGAGAGGGCGACCGGCCACACUGGGACUGAGACACGGCCCAGACUCCUACGGGAGGCAGCAGUGGGGAAUAUUGCACAAUGGGCGAAAGCCUGAUGCAGCGACGCCGCGUGAGGGAUGACGGCCUUCGGGUUGUAAACCUCUUUCAGCAGGGAAGAAGCGAAAGUGACGGUACCUGCAGAAGAAGCGCCGGCUAACUACGUGCCAGCAGCCGCGGUAAUACGUAGGGCGCAAGCGUUGUCCGGAAUUAUUGGGCGUAAAGAGCUCGUAGGCGGCUUGUCACGUCGGAUGUGAAAGCCCGAGGCUUAACCUCGGGUCUGCAUUCGAUACGGGCUAGCUAGAGUGUGGUAGGGGAGAUCGGAAUUCCUGGUGUAGCGGUGAAAUGCGCAGAUAUCAGGAGGAACACCGGUGGCGAAGGCGGAUCUCUGGGCCAUUACUGACGCUGAGGAGCGAAAGCGUGGGGAGCGAACAGGAUUAGAUACCCUGGUAGUCCACGCCGUAAACGUUGGGAACUAGGUGUUGGCGACAUUCCACGUCGUCGGUGCCGCAGCUA
rnacentral:rRNA from 1 species